ensembl:lincRNA
CGUGUGCAAUGCAGUAACAGCGCUGUGCAGACAUCAGUGCAGUGUAAAUGAAGGACUGGCGAUGAUGCUUGGACUUAAAUCAGUGCGGAAACAAAGUUUAUGCGAUCUGUUUUCCCCCAGUGAAGUGAGAGAUGGGGUAACUUAAAACGGUAAAAUAACUGCAUUUCUAUGGCGGUCUCUAAGAAGAGCCCGGACAUUCUUUAUCUGUGGACAAAACUCAGUUCCUCUCUCAGUGGAGGAAACAGCGCCAUCUAUUAGUCAGAGCUCUGUACGACCAUGGAACUACGGCGAGGCUGCAGGGUUCAUGAGAACUACCUAAGAAGACUUGGAUGGAGAUGAAGAAAAAAAGUUUCAGAGAUGGUGGACUGGCUCCCUUGAAAUUAUGAAACCUAUGUAACAAUGUUAUAGCGGGACCUGUUGUCAAGAGCUGGGACAGUUGCUGGUGCUCUCGCUUCAUGUGAAAGAGGAGUUCUGGACUAUUAAGGUUGUUUUGAACCAUGCAGAAAAGCGUAAGAGCCGAAUCCUGUCUGUGGGUAAUAGGGAGUCCUGCUAUCAGAAUGUUUUCCCCAAGGUUUGGCCAACAGUGAUGAGAUUUAUGUCAAAAAUUAAAACAAAAUUUCAUUAAUUAAUCAGUCGCAAGCAAGAAUAUUAACCUGGGCUGAUAUAGAGCACACAGCUGAGUAAUUUACAUUAUAUAUUAAAGUUCAACCAGAGAAUUGCUAAAGCCAGUGAGGAAGAAUGUUUAGACAGAUCUCCAUGUUAUCAAUGCAUUCACAGUUUGAUUGUAAUUAUAAUGUACAGUUACAGUGUUUUCACAUUUAUUCUGAUGGAAAGUUUCAUUUUGAGGAAUAUUUACUUCACUUUAUCUUUCUUUAUCUUACAUUUCAUAAAUAUUCUUCGCUCCUCAAUUUCUCUGCGAUUAUGGCAGUGGUUAUGUCAGAUAGGCAGUGCUGGGUAGAUUACUUGCAUAUUGUAGUAUAAUUACAUGAUCACACUGACAAAGAAAAAUGAUGUCGAAAUUUUACACGUUUAAGCAAACCCACACCAUGCUGGCACGGUGGCUUAGUGGAUAGCACUGUCACCACACAGCAAGAAGGUUGCUGGUUCGAGUCCCAGCUGGGUCAUUUGGCAUUUCUGCAUGGAGUUUGCAUGUUCUCCCAUUAUUGGCAUGGGUUUCCUCUUGGUGCUUUGGUUUCCCCCACAAGCCCAAAGACAUGCACUAUAGGUGGAAUGAAUAAGCUAAAUUGGCCAUAGUGUAUGUGUGAAUGAGAGAGUGGUGUUUCCCAGUGAUGGGUAGCGGCUGAAACAGCAUCCGCUGUGUAAAACAUGUGCUGGAAUAGUUGCAGGUUCAUUCCGCUGUGGUGACCGUUGAUAAAUAAGGCACUAAGCCGUAGGAGAAUGAAUGAAAUGUGAGCAUGUGAGAUUAAUUAUUGUAAUAGUAAUUUUUAAAUUAUCUUUACAAUUAAAAACAGAGUUUAUUUAAAUGUGAAACCUUUAAAGUUAUAGCUUACUUAAAAAAAAUAUAUAAAAAUAUAUAUAUUUGAAAUGAAUUGCUCUCCUAAUGUUCAGUAAGCAUGUCAAGAUAAUUAUAUUAAAAUGUUUCAUCCGUAAGUUAUGAGUUGAGGUGAGAACAACUCAAAAUGUAAAGCAGUAGGAUUUUGUAGAAAGCAUAUUUUUAAAAAUGAAAUUAGGAUUUAGCAAAAUCACUAAAUUAUGAUCAAUUUAUUACCUUUGUGUAAUAUUAAUAUCAUCAUAAUCAUGUAAUGCAUAAAGUAAGUUUAAUGAUGCACACCAAAUUGGUCACGUAUGUUCAAAUCAGUUUAGACAUAGCUUGAGCUUGCACAGGAUUUGACUGAAUGACAAAUGUUAGUAUUGUCGUUGCAAAUAAGUAUUGUGUAUAUAAAAAAACAAAACCACAUGCAUGAUUUUACCUGUUUUCUAACUGAAACUGCUGUAAACAAGAAAGGGAUCAGUUAUGGCUUGAAUGCAUAACUUGGGAAUGCAAACCAGUGCCUCAUGUAUAAUUUCUGCUUCAGCUCUUAAAUGAUAAUUGCAAUGCUUGCUUUGUUUUAACACUUGUUUUCAUAUCAAUAAGCAAUUAUCCAUAAGCAUCCUUAUUGACAUUUUUGUCGAUUGCAUUAUUUCUAACUUUCAGUUUGGCAUAUUUGCUUUUUUUACACAAACAUCAGUUGUUUUGGCAAAAUGGACAUUUUUGUGUCACACUGUUUGGAUUUAAUUUGCUUGCCAGUCCGUGUUAAUAAAUGCCUGAUUGUGUAUC